CCUACGGGGGGCUGCAGUGGGGAAUAUUGGACAAUGGGCGAAAGCCUGAUCCAGCCAUGCCGCGUGUGUGAAGAAGGCCUUCGGGUUGUAAAGCACUUUCAGUGGGGAAGAAAGCCUUUGGGCUAAUACCCUCGAGGAAGGACAUCACCCACAGAAGAAGCACCGGCUAACUCCGUGCCAGCAGCCGCGGUAAUACGGAGGGUGCGAGCGUUAAUCGGAAUUACUGGGCGUAAAGCGCGCGUAGGCGGUCUGAUAAGCCGGUUGUGAAAGCCCCGGGCUCAACCUGGGAACGGCAUCCGGAACUGUCAGGCUAGAGUGCAGGAGAGGAAGGUAGAAUUCCCGGUGUAGCGGUGAAAUGCGUAGAGAUCGGGAGGAAUACCAGUGGCGAAGGCGGCCUUCUGGACUGAAACUGACGCUGAGGUGCGAAAGCGUGGGUAGCAAACAGGAUUAGAUACCCGAGUAGUC
rnacentral:rRNA from 1 species